rnacentral:rRNA from 1 species
GACGAACGCUGGCGGCGUGCUUAACACAUGCAAGUCGAACGGAAAGGCCCUGCUUUUGUGGGGUUCUCGAGUGGCGAACGGGUGAGUAACACGUGAGUAACCUGCCCUUGACUUUGGGAUAACUUCAGGAAACUGGGGCUAAUCCCGGAUCGGAGCUCCUGCUGCAUGGUGGGGGUUGGAAAGUUUCGGCGGUUGGGGAUGGACUCGCGGGUUAUGGGCUUGUUGGUGGGGUAGAGGCUUGCCAAGCAUUUGGAGGGUAGCCGGCAUGAGAGGGUGACUGGCCACAUUGGGACUGAGAUACGGACCAGACUCGUACGGUGGGCAGUAGUGGGAAAUAUGGCACAAUGGGCGGGAGCCUGAUGCAGCAACGCCGCGUGCGGGAUGACGGUCUUCGGGGUGUAAACCGCUUUAGCCUGUGACGAAGCGUGAGUGACGGUAAUGGGUAAAGAAGCACCGGCUAACUACGUG